rnacentral:rRNA from 1 species
CAGCAGCCGCGGGAACACGAACCGUCCGAACGUUAUUCGGAAUCACUGGGCUUAAAGCGCGUGUAGGCGGGCCGCCACGUCGGCUGCUGAAAUCCCCCGGCUCAACCGGGGAACGGGCACCGAUACGAGCGGCCUGGAGGGGGGUAGGGGGGACUGGAACUUCCGGUGGAGCGGUGAAAUGCGUUGAGAUCAGAAGGAACGCCCGUGGCGAAAGCGAGUCCCUGGACCCUUUCUGACGCUGAGACGCGAAAGCCAGGGGAGCGAACGGGAUUAGAUACCCCUGUAGUCCCUGUCUCUUAUU